GGAGAGAUGGCCGAGUGGCUUAAGGCGCACGCUUGGAAAGCGUGUUAAGGGCAACCUUACCGGGGUUCGAAUCCCCGUCUCUCCG
rnacentral:tRNA from 1 species